GGACAGGAGGAGCUCCUUAUGGAAAUGGAUUUUUACACACACACACCCCAGAGAAAGGAGAGGGGUCCAAGCAGAGCUGAACAUUGAGUCACGGGUGCGCUGUGAAAUACGAUUUCGAGAGGGUACUGAGAGAUAGAAAACUUUUGAAUGGAGACGCUAGCGGCUGGACUAGGACUCGGAGGUUUUGAAUGUUAACCCGCACGGGGUCGAAAGGUACUACCACAAGAGACUGGCAAGGCACGGCCCAAAUCCCACCACAGGUUCCAGAGGCUUGCUUUGGGUUGUUCGCUUGUUAUCUGGGCCACCCAAUGACCGACGAAAGAUCUUCCCUCCCCACGUCUCCCAUCGCCGUUUUAAACCAAAUAAAUUUAGCUAUUAAGGGCCGAGACGUCUGACAAAAGAUCGAAAGGUGUCUCUCUGGGAUCGCUUAAAGAAGCCAAGAAGCUGGCGACUCUCGGAAUCCCGAUAAAGAAAUUCCACGCCGGCGCCGACCUCCCUCCCCAGCCUGCUUGCACCCAACACCCUGAGAUCAGGACCUCAGAGGUCCACUGGGACUUGUGGCUACAGCUAAGGCAAUGUCUCGGGUACCUGGGGCUGUUAGACUUUGGGAGCAGGGCACUGAGGUCCCUAGAGCAGUGAUACCUAAAACAUUUCCUGCCAAGCUUGCAGAAGAACCAAGGCCAAGGAAACCCAACCUAAGCAUUUAAAUUUGCUUUUCCCCCCUUUUCCUUUGAGACAAAGUCUCUCAUCAAACAUGGCAGGCUGGCCUCAAACUCAUGAUCCUCAGGUCUGUGCAGUAUUGGGAUUCAAAUGUAGCCUUGUCCCGCCGUUUUUAUUGUUUGUUAAUACUGAGUAAUAAAGACAAUA